UACAGAGGGGGCAAGCGUUGUUCGGAAUUACUGGGCGUAAAGCGCACGUAGGCGGCUUUGCAAGUUAGAGGUGAAAGCCCGGAGCUCAACUCCGGAAUUGCCUUUAAAACUGCAUCGCUAGAAUUGUGGAGAGGUAAGUGGAAUUCCGAGUGUAGAGGUGAAAUUCGUAGAUAUUCGGAAGAACACCAGUGGCGAAGGCGACUUACUGGACACAUAUUGACGCUGAGGUGCGAAAGCGUGGGGAGCAAACAGG
rnacentral:rRNA from 1 species